AUGAUCAAACAGCAACAGUGGGACCUGUGGGCUCCUGUGGCCAACACCCAUGAGGGUCAUAUCACCAGCAAUAUGCAGCUUUCUGCCUACGUAGACCCUGCCCUGGAACUGGGCCCCUGCAAUGUACUGCUGCUCCUGCAGGACAAGAUAAGCAUUGAGGAUUUCAGAGCAUAUGGUGGUUUGUUUGAAAUAAGCAGGACAGUGCCUUUUCUAACCUGGAGAGUUCCCUGGACUUGAUCCCCUCUUCACAGGAGGAGGGGCUUCCUCCUGUGGACUGCUGUGCAAUCAGCACUCUGACCACCUACCUACAGGGGAAGCUUGGGACUAGUCCCCUGAAUGUGGGUCUAACUACCCUAAAGGAGCUGAAGUUUAAUGUCAGCCUUCCUAACUUGCUGCCCAUCUGUCUGGCCUAACAGCCAGCUCCAGUUUAAGGGUGCCCAGAGAGGUCAUCACAGGUAAAGAUGAUUCCAUCAGACAUGUGUUGAGCACACUCAAGUCUGAACAUGUCCCUUACACCAUAGUUCUUACUUCAGUCUGCCCUUCUAGAGUGGCCCAUGGUAUAGCCAUGGUGGCUGGGAGUCUAGGUUGCCAGCUGCUUCAGACUCAGGUGGCAUCACUUGUGAUCCAUUCUCCUGUGAGUUACAAUGACAUUGCCCCAAGGAUCCUGAUUUGGGCACAAAACUUCUCUGUGGCAUACAAAGACGAGUGGAAAGUCUUGACCUCCCUCAACUUUGGUGUUGAGAAUCUUAACUUGACCAGCUCCAUCUGGAAUGACUCCUUUACCAUGCUUUCACUGACCUAUGAGCCACUCUUUGGUGCAACAGUGACAUUCCAGUUCAUUCUGGCUAGUCGCUUCUACCCAGUAUCUGGCCAGUAUUGGUUUACCAUGGAAUGACUUGGAAUCCAUGGCAAUGGCUCUGUUGCUCACUUCAAUGUUUCCCAAGUCACAGGACCUAGGAUCUAUUCUUUCCACUUUGAGUAUGUUAGCAGUCUGAGGAAGAAAGGCAAUCUCUUUCUGACCAAUGUGCCCUCACUCUGGCAGAUGACUCUUCAUAACUUCCAGAUCCAGGCCUUCAAUGUGACUGGUGAAUAGUGCUUCUAUGCUAGCAACUGUUCU